UGUGCGCAGGCGCGAGGUGACGCCGCGGCAGGGCCGGAAGGAGCGCAGCGGCGGCCUCGGCUGCGGCCACGAAGCUGUCGUGGUGCUCCUGCGGACUAGAAGCUGCGGCGACAGAAGCCGCCGAGCCUGCCUCGAGAGCCGGCGAGUUGAGUGACUCUUUGGAACAGGUAGUCACCAUGUUCAGAUAUUAGCAAGCACAUAGCUGUAUGUCUGCAUUGGAAAAUGGCAGAGGGAAACAACAAUGAAGAGGUAAUUCACUUGAACAACUUCCACUGCCACCGGGGACGAGAUUGGAUCAAUCUCAGAGAUGGACCCAUCACCAUAUCUGACUCCUCUGAUGAGGAAGGGGUUCCAAUGCUGGUCACCCCAGCUCCUCAGCAGCAUGAUGAAGAGGACCUGGAUGAUGAUGUCAUCCUGGCGGAAACAAAUAAACCUCAGACAUCACGACCCAAUCUCAUCAAACCAGCUGCCCAGUGGCAAGAUCUCAAAAGAUUGGGAGAAGAAAGGCCUAAAAAGUCUAGAGCAGCCUUUGAAUCAGAUAAGAACCGCUUUUUUUCUGUGUGUAACAGCUCGUUGUUUGGUUCUGGGGCACAGGAUGAUUCUGAGGAUAACUACGGUGAAUUUCUAGAUCUUGGGCCUCCUGGAGUUUCUGAAUUCAUUAAGCCAAGUGGACAAACAGAAAGAGAACCCAAGCCUGGACCAAGUCAUAACCAAGCAACAAAUGACAUUGUCAACCACAGAGCAGAGCAGAAAAUCAUUAUCUUGAAAGAAGGUAGCCUUCUUUUUCCAGAAGGUGAUCCUUUGGACACUCAGAACCAGUCAUCUGAAGACUCAGAGACAGAGCUUUUAUCAAACCUCGGAGAAUCAACUGAUAUCCUAGAUGACCAGGCCAUCGAAGAAGACUGCUGGUUAGACCAUCCUUACUUCCAGUCUCUGAACCAACAGCCCCGUGAGAUAACAAACCAGGUUGUGCCUCAGGAGCGGCAGCCUGAAGUAGAACUGGGCCCACUGUUGUAUCAGCAUGAAGCCUCAGGGUCAGCUUUUCCAAGACCAGCUUUUCCAAGAUCAGAACCCCAGCAGGAUGGGAUUCCAGGCCCUUCUUCUCCUCAGCCUGCCCAUCCUCUGGAAGAGCUUGAAGACCAACAAUUAGCAAUAGAUGAUGAAGAGCCAGGUCCAGCCUUUCCACUGCAAGGAUCUCAGGAGCCCAAUUUGGAAAACCUUUGGAGGCAAGAAGCUCCUGACGUAGACCAAGAACUCAUUGCACUAUUAGUGAAAGAAACAGAAGUAAGAUUUCCAGAUGUAGCACAUGGGUAUAUUGAGGAAAUAAUUCAUUUGAAAAAUUACUAUGAUUUGAAUGUACUUUGUAAUUUUCUUCUGGAAAAUCCAGAUUAUCCAAAGAGAGAAGAUAGAGUCCUUAUCAAUCCCAAUAGCAGCCUGCUUGCCAGCCAAGAUGAGAUAAAGUUGCCUAAAAUAGACUUUUUUGACUAUUCUAAAUUGGCUCCUCUUGACCAGCGCUGCUUCAUCCAAGCUGCUGACCUCCUGAUGGCCGACUUCAAAAUGCUCAGCAGUCAGGACAUCAAGUGGGCCCUGCAUGAGCUCAAAGGACACUAUGCAAUCACCCGAAAGGCCUUUUCUGAUGCCAUUAAAAAAUGGCAGGAGCUAUCGCCAGAAACCAGUGGAAAAAGAAAAAAGAGAAAAGAAAUGAAUCAGUAUUCUUACAUAGAUUUCAAAUUUGAACAAGGUGACAAAAAAAUAGAAAAGAGGAUGUUCUUUCUGGAAAAUAAGCGGCGACAUUGUAGGUCUUAUGACCGGCGUGCUCUCCUUCCAGCUGUGCAGCAAGAGCAGGAGUUCUAUGAGCAGAAAAUCAAAGAGAUGGCAGAGCAUGAAGACUUUUUGCUUGCCCUGCAGAUGAAUGAAGAACAGUAUCAAAAGGAUGGCCAGUUGAUUGAGUGCCGCUGCUGCUACGGGGAAUUUCCAUUUGAGGAACUGACGCAGUGUGCAGAUGCUCACUUGUUCUGCAAAGAGUGUCUCAUCAGAUAUGCCCAAGAGGCAGUCUUUGGAUCUGGAAAGUCAGAGCUCAGCUGCAUGGAAGGCAGCUGCACAUGUUCAUUCCCAACCAGUGAACUGGAGAAGGUGCUUCCCCAGACCAUCCUGUAUAAAUACUAUGAGCGAAAAGCAGAAGAAGAAGUUGCUGCAGCCUACGCUGAUGAGCUCGUCAGGUGCCCCUCCUGCAGCUUUCCUGCUCUGUUGGACAGUGAUGUGAAGAGGUUCAGUUGUCCCAAUCCUCGCUGCCGAAAGGCUUGUUUGCUGUCAUUCGGUUCUAAUACAAACAUCUGUUUAGGAAUGUUGGAUAUCGUACCUUUUGAAAUCCCCCCUUGGAAACAGGGUGGGAUGGAGAUUUGCAGAGAUGGGGAAGCAGUUGCAACAACAUCGUCUUCUGUCUCUUGCACUGAAGGAGUACCUGGCUGCCAGACCGGGACCUGUUCUGCAUCACUUGUCUUGACUUUCCUGUAAAAGCUUAAGUGGGAAGGUACCAGUUUUGCUGAACAAGCAGGCAUUGCCUUUUAUAAGAGCAGUCAUUUAAAACACCAGAAAGGUGUUUGAAAGAUACUGGCAUAGUUUCCUCUGACCUCAAUUUCAUAUACUGGUAACUCUUCAGUGCCUGAGACUUAGCACUGACGCCCUCCCCACCAGGUGGCCAGAGGCAUGUGUCCACUCCAGAGGAGAGGAGAAACUAUACUCAGCUUGAUGAAGGACACUGAGAAGUGCUUUGCCGUACAUACUGCCCCUAAAGGGAAGCUGGACGUUUUAAAAAUUAAAUUUAAAACUCCCCAUCACCUCUCUCCCCCACACCCUCCCUGCUUCUCUCUCUCUCUCUCUCUCUCUCACUCACUCACUCUCUCUCUCACACACACCAUACACACACACCACACACACACACGCUUUCCUCUUCUGCCAACACCGCCUGCCUCCCCCCAGCUCUCCCCAUUACUGCUUUUAACCUUGAAACCUCUGUUGCACAUUUAUGCAUUCAUCCUGUUCCUGCUCUUGCAUUAUUAAUGGGCCUGGAGCAAUCCAGCCAGAACACUGACAUUACUAAUUACUGCUUAUAACCGAGAAGUAAGGAGCAGGGAGUAAAGUGGGUCACAAGACGGUGUCAUAACAAUAAAAUACUGCUGUCAGGCAAAAUUGCUCGGUGUCUGUGCUGUUUGUUGAGGGUAGAGGUGGAUCUUCACCAUAAGCCGACCCAGCAGAGACCCUGUUGGUGGGAGGGGAGGUGCUCUUAACAUCACAUCGGUCACCCCAGUCUCACUGUCUGUGCACAGGGUUAGAGAAUAGGGUGCGUUUCUGUCGGAACUUUGAAACAUCCAAAACUCUUAUCAUGGCAGAACAACCCCUUUGAAAGCGAGCUCUUUGUGCGCUGGCGGUAUGAGCCGGACAGGACUGUGUUAACGUGGCAGGAGAGGCGUUGCAGAGAGACUGCGGGGAACCGGCUUCCGCCCUCGCUUGGCCAUGUGCCGUGUGCUGGCAUCAGCCCUUCACCUCCAGGUCUGAGUCUGCCUACGUGAGUUAAGUCUCCCUCCAGCCCCCAGAUCCCAGCUUCGCGCAAAUGUGACACGUCGGUGUUGUUGGGAAAUGUAAGCUUGGCAGAACGAGCACGUGCACUUACCUAAGGUACAAAAGACUGGGCGGCAGAGCAUUACCAAAGGGCAGGGGCCAGCAGCCCCCCUUCUUCCCUGUGGAACGGAGCCCUGCUUAUGCGAGGGCGUGUUUGGUUGACGGCCCCUGUGAGCUGGUGUAGUGGUUUCUGUGAGAGGUGAGGACAGCACCUCUUCCCGUUGUUGCUUCAGGGAGAGGAGAAUUUCAUGCCGCUGGAGCCGCCUUUAAUGUCACCUGGGGAACCUUAGCAAACUGAUCUCUAAUCAAAAGCCUGCCCAGCUUCUGAGGAACACUGACCAUGUCUUCUAGAGUAAGAGGAAGUAGAAAGGGACUUCAAAGGAGCCUGAGUCAUACUUUAUCAAAAGCAACGCUUUUUGGCUUCCCUGGUGGUGCAGUGGUUAAGAAUCCGCCUGCCAAUGCAGGGGAUAUGGAUUCAAGCCCUGGUGUGGGAAGAUCCCACAUGCCGUGGAGCAACUAAGCCCGUGCACCACAACUAUUGAGCCUGCGCUCUAGAGCCUGUGAGCCACAACUACUGAAACUUAUGCACCGCAACUACUGAAGCCCGCGUGCCUAGAGCCUGUGCCCCGCAGCAAGAGAAAUCACUGCAAUGAGAAGCCCGCGCACCACAGCGAAGAGUAGCCUCUGCUCGCCGCAACUGGAGAAAGCCUGUGUGCAGCAACAAAGACCCAAGGCAACCAAAAAUAGAAUAAAUAAAAAUAAAUAAAUUUUUUAAAAAAACAACUCUUUUGUUGAUAAGAAAGUAAGAUGGAUAAAUUGAGAAUUGGCCCACUGCUAGAGUAACCAGCAAAAUUUUUCAUAACCCAUUCCAAAAAAUAUAUAUAUAUAAGAAAGAUCUAUAAGUACUGAUCAGGAAAUCUCUCCAAGAAGUGCACUGUCGAGUGUAAAAAGCAAGGUAAAAUGGGUGCAGUGUGAGCUUUUUUCUGAAAUGAAACACAGGCUUUCACUCAUUAGGCCUUUUUGUAUUUCUCAGCAUGUACACGUAUUUUUUUUUCUUUGACCGGUGUCCACAGAGAUUUAAAAAACAAAAACUACCCCAGCAUAGAAUUCUGAGCUUCAGCUGACCACUUUUUCCCCUGACGUUUAGUCUGUUUGGAAUGAACGGGUCGGUAGCUCCUCCUUCUCUUUCUUCAUAGUUUCUGAAUAUGUGAAUGUGUCAUAUUAAGUAGGUUUCACCCUACUUCAUUUACCGUCUGCUUAUACUUUUCAUAGCUUUUUACUCUACUUUUUCUCUCAAUAUAAAAAUAAUUGAAAGAAGGUAAGCAUUGCCAGAAUUAUCUCGGUUUUACACAAUUCUGUGCUUUUAACAGCAAAAUGAAAGCCUGGUGCCCUCGCUGGCCAGCUGUAGGAAUCCAGGACUGGAAGCAGGAAUGUCUUCUGUUAAGAAUACUCUCGUGACUCUUCCAGGAAAGCUUGGCAGAGCUUCAGACAAUGUAGACAGUGAAGUUCCAUUUUCUUCACUUGAACUGAAGUGCUCCCUCCGUCUGUUAGACCUGGAGCUGUGUCAGAACACAGAGACUGGCUGCCCCAGGCUGAACAGUGACACAUGCUGCCUGGCUGCCCUUCAGAGAGGCACUGACACCUUUGAAGGGCUGCUUUGUGAAGUAGCCUUUGAGGUGAUUCCGGAGGAUUUCAAGACAAAACAGGAAUUUUCGGAGUCCAGAUUUGAGCAAAAGCAAGUAUAGGCCAGCACAUCGGUACAGAGUUUGUCCUGGCAGCGUGACACCCACUGUGGUCUCAGUUGUCCUUCUCUGAGUGGACAGUUGUGCUUGCAUUUUAGUGCAGGCGUUUCUUGAUGGUCCCUGCCGUGAGGAGAGAAGCUGCUGGAGUAAAGAAACAGCAUGAGAAGAACCAAAACAAACCGAUAGGGGCUUCCCUGGUGGCACAGUGGUUAAGAAUCCACCUGCCAAUAUAGGGGACACAGGUUCAAGCCCUGGUCCGGGAAGAUCCCACAUGCCACGGAGCAGCUAAGCCUGCGAGCCACUACUGAGCCCGCGUGCCACAUCUGCUGAAGCCUAGAGCCCCUGCUCCGCAACAAGAGAAGCCACUGCAAUGAGAAGCCCGCGCACUGUGAUAAAGAGUAGACCCCGCUUGCCACAACUAGAGAAAGCCCGCGCACAGCAGCAAAGACCCAACGCAGCCAUAAAUAAAUAAAUACAUACAUACAUACAUACAUCGGAUGUGCCUGUGAACCCAUCAUUGUGAGAGUGGGCGCACGUGUUCCAUCCUGGUUGCUGUUGGCUCAGGGAGUUUGUCACCUUUGGUCACCUUUGUAGCAUCCUUUUUUUAAAUUUUAUUUAUUUAUUUAUUUUUGGUUUAGAUUCUGGUUCUUCCAGCACUACAGGUUCCAGGCUAGCAGUGAUUCUGGAUUUAGGCUUCGGGAAACAUGAGAGUGGGUGGGUUUGAGGUAGAGCUGAGAGGACUGGCUGGUGGGAUAAGUUGGGGGGGGGGGGUGAAGAAAAAGGAGGAAUCCAGGGUUUUUGCUUGCGCAGCUAGUGGGUGGUGGUGUCCCUUAGUGAUACAGAGGAGACUAAGAACAGCUUUGUGGGGAGGUGAGGGGAUCAAACUUUGUGUUUCAGACGUGUCUGUGAUGCCUUUUAGACCUCCAGGCGGAAGUGUUGAAGAGCCAGUCGGAUAUGCAGGCCUACCACUUAGGGAAGCUGUCAGAGCCAGAGUAGAGCCAGGCACCACCGAUCCUGCCUGCAUGGGAGAGCCUCAGAGCCUGGCGUGUCAGCUGGCGAGGGAGUGAUGAGAGGGGACUGCUGGUUUUGCCUGGGAGAGUUGAGGAAACAUUAUAGAAGUGACUUUAGGAUUGGACCUGGAAGGCUGCUGGGUAGCUAGGGCAGAGGAGUGGGGAGAGGCCUCCCAGAAGAAGACACAGCAUAUUUAAGGUGUGUUUCUGAGGGAAGGGUGGGGCGGUGGCCGGUGGUGAGCCAUUUGGUGAAGGGGACAGUCCUUGUGGGAAGAGUGUGGGCGUCUUCUUGUUAACAAUAGCAGGUCCAUCCAGGGUGGGAAAGGGGAUGAUAUGAUCAAAUAAAGGUUUUCACAAGAUUAUUCUGGCAGCAGUUUGAAAAAAGGACUGAAAGUGAGAAGAGAUUGAAGGCAGGGAGGGCAGUAAGAAGACCGCGUAAGGAUGCAGCUCAGCCACACACAAGCAAUGCAGUGCAGUUAGCGCUGCUGCUUUCAUCCUUAGAGUGAUGGCGGAGCCACCGUGCUCCCUGCCCUGGGGCUCUCACAGCUCAGCAGAAAGGUGGGUAUGAGCGGGCCAACGUGCUUUGUGGACAGUUGAGGUUCUGGCUUUAUCCAUCCAAGUGUGUUGGGAGGGCUGGCUCUUUAUCAGUGUGAUGGUCUAGCUGCUCAGGUUCUAUGUCCCCAAGGGCAAUUCUAAAGACACUCCUGUUCCUGUUUCUGUAAGACCAGUUGUUUAAAAUGCACACACUCACACUAAUACUCUCAUUCUCCUGGUGGCUUUUUUUCCUUUUCUUUUUUUUUUAAUUGUAUCCUGCAACAGCACAUUCCACUGGCAGAUUCCACAACAGGAAUGUUCUUUCACUUGCUUGAUUUCAGUGGUUUGAUUUUGUGGUCUGUUGCCAUAGCGCCUGGAGCUAAGGCCUUAUCAAAUAACUGCGCAUCUGGUGAAGACUUCAACUCCCAGGAACUGGAGGCAAGGAGAACUGUCAAGGGGCUCUCCGGUCAGCUCUCCCAAUACUGGGAGGCCUCGCCCAAGUUCUGGCUUCCUAACAGUCUGCUCCACCAAAUACAUGUCUUUAAUGUAUCAAUAAAUACACCAUUUGUUUAUAUAGUAUUUUCUCUGUGCUGCACCAUUCUGGGGCGAAAGAAUUU